rfam:Elusimicrobium minutum Pei191, complete genome.
GGUGCGGUGGCCAAGUGGUAAGGCGGCAGUCUGCAAAACUGCUAUUCGCGGGUUCGAUUCCCGCCCGCACCU